AAAUUGAGUAAGAGAAUAAAAUAUGAACAUGCAAAAGAGAUUGAUUCAAAUGACCAGAAGAAAACAAUGGAUGAAUGGAGUUGUUGUGGGUUUACAAUUUCAUCUAAUUCGAUCUCUCUUAUUUACUCCUCUUGAAUUAUUAGCUUGAUUAAUUAAUUGUCAUGCAACUUUCUUAGCCUACCCUUAACUCGAUCCCUUGACGAAAAGAGCCUAAUACUAAUUACUGGCUUGUUAUCCCUAGCCUCCCCUAGCAAUUAAUACAGCAUUAUAGAGCAGAAGUUAAAAGCAAUUGAUCGUCAUACCCCUAUCCCUAGGUGAUAAGCAAAAUCAAGGAAUUACUCACCAGUUCAUGACAUUACUAUACGUCCUCGUAUCAAUAAAGACAAACACUAGUUAUCGAAUGAGUUAAACGAUAAAGGCAUUAAGCACAGAUGAGAACCCAACAAUUAACAAUCAAAGCAUAUGGAAACCAUAUAAAUAAUGAAGAGUUUCAAUAAAAGAGAGUAUCAAAAGAUUACAUUGUUUCCCCCAACAACAAUAGGGUUUAGUUCACCAUUUUCAUGGUGAAACUAGAUGAAAAAUGCAUG
rnacentral:lncRNA from 1 species